CCAAAUUUACCAGUCGAGACCUGCUACCACUCUAACGGAAAAAGCUUCUGCUACGUUUUAAAGGUAAAAGGGAUAAAAAAAAAGCAAGGCAUCUGCAGGUGUUCAUGGAUUCAUCACUCAUCACCGUACGUGAAUGGGAGAUGAGUUUAAAAGACAAAGCAUACACAAAAGCUGAAUACAAUAGUCCCUUCCACCACAUGGCCGCCAGAUCCGUCGCUCUCAGGCUGAUCCUACUAGAGAUCAGUUCGAAAGCACGCAAAAGGCACAAUCCAGCAUUCCAACCGCAACAGGAUAGGACAUGCAGCGUCCGGUCGUCGGUCGGUCGGUCGGCAUCGUCCAUUCAGCUUGUCGUCCUUCCCUGUGGAUAUGCGUGAUCCCAAGAGCAUGCAGCAGGCACGAUCGGAAGAAGAGGUGAGGAGAGGCAAUGGAAACGAAAAUAUAUAAGCAAAAGCAAAAUAUAUAAGCUCGAGAACUUUUCCUAGUCUUCCUGUCCUAAUAAGGGAUUUCAGUUGCAGAUUUGCGUGACGGAGACAAGCUGACGCACCACACGCACGAGGAUGAGCAUUCACUAUGAAAACCAAUUUUCAAAAUUCCCCGUCAAAUCGAAUCUUGUGUCACAUGCAUGAAACAUUAAAUAUAGACAAAAAAAAAUAAAAAACUAAUUACAUAGUUUAGCUGUAAAUCACGAGACGAAUUUUUUGAUCCUAGUUAGUCUAU
rnacentral:lncRNA from 1 species